rnacentral:rRNA from 1 species
UACAGAGGUCUCAAGCGUUGUUCGGAAUCACUGGGCGUAAAGGGUGCGUAGGCUGCACGGUAAGUCAGAUGUGAAAUCCCAGGGCUCAACUCUGGAAUUGCAUCCGAUACUGCCGUGCUUGAGGACUGGAGAGGAGUCUGGAAUUCAUGGUGGAGCAGUGAAAUGCGUAGAUAUCAUGAGGAACGCUAGUGGCGUAGGCGAGACUCUGGACAGUUCCUGACGCUGAGGCGCGAAAGCGUGGGGAGCAAACAGG